UGGUAAAAAAAGGACUUUAACCUUUGUCAUCGGAGCUACAAACCGCUGCCUAACUCAGCCAUUUUACC
rnacentral:tRNA from 1 species